rnacentral:rRNA from 1 species
GACAGAGGGUGCAAACGUUGUUCGGAUUUACUGGGCGUAAAGCGAGUGUAGGCGGUUCGGUAAGUCGGAUGUGAAAGCCCCGGGCUCAACCCGGGAAGUGCACUCGAUACUGCCGAGCUAGAGUAUCGGAGAGGUUGGUGGAAUUCUCGGUGUAGAGGUGAAAUUCGUAGAUAUCGAGAGGAACACCGGUGGCGAAGGCGGCCAACUGGACGAAUACUGACGCUGAGAACGCGAAAGCGUGGGGAGCAAACAGG